AAAACCAAUGCCCCUCGGGGCUUUCUGGUGAUUCAUGAUAACUUCACGAAUCGCACGGCCUUGCGCCGGCGAUGGCUCAUUCAAAUUUCUGCCCUAUCAACUUUCGAUGGCAGGGUCUUGGCCUGCCAUGGUUUCAACGGGUAACGGAGGGUUAGGGCUCGACCCCGGAGAAGGAGCCUGAGAAACGGCUACUACAUCCAAGGAAGGCAGCAGGCGCGCAAAUUACCCAAUCCCGACACGGGGAGGUAGUGACAAUAAAUACUGAUACAGGGCUCUUUUGGGUCUUGUAAUCGGAAUGAGUACAAUUUAAACCCCUUAACGAGGAACAAUUGGAGGGCAAGUCUGGUGCCAGCAGCCGCGGUAAUUCCAGCUCCAAUAGCGUAUAUUAAGUUGUUGCAGUUAAAAAGCUCGUAGUUGAACCUUGGGCCUGGCUGGCCGGUCCGCCUCACCGCGUGUACUGGUCCGGCCGGGCCUUUCCCUCUGUGGAACCCCAUGCCCUUCACUGGGUGUGGCGGGGAACCAGGACUUUUAC
rnacentral:rRNA from 1 species